GACGAACGCUGGCGGCGUGCCUAAUACAUGCAAGUAGAACGAGUUGCGAACGGGUGAGUAACGCGUGGUAACCUGCCUCAUAGCGGGGGAUAACUAUUGGAAACGAUAGCUAAUACCGCAUAUCAUGAGAUGGACCUGCGUUGUAUUAGCUUGUUGGUGGGGUAAUGGCUCACCUAGGCGACGAUCCCUAGCUGGUCUGAGAGGAUGACCAGCCACACUGGAACGGAGACACGGUCCAGACUCCGACGGGAGGCAGCAGUGGGGAAUAUUGCACAAUGGGCGCAAGCCUGAUGCAGCCAUGCCGCGUGUUGAGAAGGCCUUCGGGUUGUAGAGCACUUUCAGCGAGGAGGCGUUACUCGCAGAAGAAGCACCGGCUAACUCCGUGCCAGCAGCCGCGGUAAUAC
rnacentral:rRNA from 1 species